CGUACAAGCAGUGGGAGCCUCUUAAUGGGGUGACUGCGUACCUUUUGUAUAAUGGGUCAGCGACUUAUAUUCUGUAGCAAGGUUAACCGAAUAGGGGAGCCGAAGGGAAACCGAGUCUUAACUGGGCGUUAAGUUGCAGGGUAUAGACCCGAAACCCGGUGAUCUAGCCAUGGGCAGGUUGAAGGUUGGGUAACACUAACUGGAGGACCGAACCGACUAAUGUUGAAAAAUUAGCGGAUGACUUGUGGCUGGGGGUGAAAGGCCAAUCAAACCGGGAGAUAGCUGGUUCUCCCCGAAAGCUAUUUAGGUAGCGCCUCGUGAAUUCAUCUCCGGGGGUAGAGCACUGUUUCGGCAAGGGGGUCAUCCCGACUUACCAACCCGAUGCAAACUGCGAAUACCGGAGAAUGUUAUCACGGGAGACACACGGCGGGUGCUAACGUCCGUCGUGAAGAGGGAAACAACCCAGACCGCCAGCUAAGGUCCCAAAGUCAUGGUUAAGUGGGAAACGAUGUGGGAAGGCCCAGACAGCCAGGAUGUUGGCUUAGAAGCAGCCAUCAUUUAAAGAAAGCGUAAUAGCUCACUGGUCGAGUCGGCCUGCGCGGAAGAUGUAACGGGGCUAAACCAUGCACCGAAGCUGCGGCAGCGACACUAUGUGUUGUUGGGUAGGGGAGCGUUCUGUAAGCCUGUGAAGGUGGCCUGUGAGGGUUGCUGGAGGUAUCAGAAGUGCGAAUGCUGACAUAAGUAACGAUAAAGCGGGUGAAAAGCCCGCUCGCCGGAAGACCAAGGGUUCCUGUCCAACGUUAAUCGGGGCAGGGUGAGUCGACCCCUAAGGCGAGGCCGAAAGGCGUAGUCGAUGGGAAACAGGUUAAUAUUCCUGUACUUGGUGUUACUGCGAAGGGGGGACGGAGAAGGCUAUGUUGGCCGGGCGACGGUUGUCCCGGUUUAAGCGUGUAGGCUGGUUUUCCAGGCAAAUCCGGAAAACCAAGGCUGAGGCGUGAUGACGAGGCACUACGGUGCUGAAGCGACAAAUGCCCUGCUUCCAGGAAAAGCCUCUAAGCAUCAGGUAACAUCAAAUCGUACCCCAAACCGACACAGGUGGUCAGGUAGAGAAUACCAAGGCGCUUGAGAGAACUCGGGUGAAGGAACUAGGCAAAAUGGUGCCGUAACUUCGGGAGAAGGCACGCUGAUAUGUAGGUGAAGCGACUUGCUCGUGGAGCUGAAAUCAGUCGAAGAUACCAGCUGGCUGCAACUGUUUAUUAAAAACACAGCACUGUGCAAACACGAAAGUGGACGUAUACGGUGUGACGCCUGCCCGGUGCCGGAAGGUUAAUUGAUGGGGUUAGCGGUAACGCGAAGCUCUUGAUCGAAGCCCCGGUAAACGGCGGCCGUAACUAUAACGGUCCUAAGGUAGCGAAAUUCCUUGUCGGGUAAGUUCCGACCUGCACGAAUGGCGUAAUGAUGGCCAGGCUGUCUCCACCCGAGACUCAGUGAAAUUGAACUCGCUGUGAAGAUGCAGUGUACCCGCGGCAAGACGGAAAGACCCCGUGAACCUUUACUAUAGCUUGACACUGAACAUUGAGCCUUGAUGUGUAGGAUAGGUGGGAGGCUUUGAAGUGUGGACGCCAGUCUGCAUGGAGCCGACCUUGAAAUACCACCCUUUAAUGUUUGAUGUUCUAACGUUGGCCCGUAAUCCGGGUUGCGGACAGUGUCUGGUGGGUAGUUUGACUGGGGCGGUCUCCUCCUAAAGAGUAACGGAGGAGCACGAAGGUUGGCUAAUCCUGGUCGGACAUCAGGAGGUUAGUGCAAUGGCAUAAGCCAGCUUGACUGCGAGCGUGACGGCGCGAGCAGGUGCGAAAGCAGGUCAUAGUGAUCCGGUGGUUCUGAAUGGAAGGGCCAUCGCUCAACGGAUAAAAGGUACUCCGGGGAUAACAGGCUGAUACCGCCCAAGAGUUCAUAUCGACGGCGGUGUUUGGCACCUCGAUGUCGGCUCAUCACAUCCUGGGGCUGAAGUAGGUCCCAAGGGUAUGGCUGUUCGCCAUUUAAAGUGGUACGCGAGCUGGGUUUAGAACGUCGUGAGACAGUUCGGUCCCUAUCUGCCGUGGGCGCUGGAGAACUGAGGGGGGCUGCUCCUAGUACGAGAGGACCGGAGUGGACGCAUCACUGGUGUUCGGGUUGUCAUGCCAAUGGCACUGCCCGGUAGCUAAAUGCGGAAGAGAUAAGUGCUGAAAGCAUCUAAGCACGAAACUUGCCCCGAGAUGAGUUCUCCCUGACUCCUUGAGAGUCCUGAAGGAACGUUGAAGACGACGACGUUGAUAGGCCGGGUGUGUAAGCGCAGCGAUGCGUUGAGCUAACCGGUACUAAUGAACCGUGAGGCUUAACCUU
rnacentral:rRNA from 1 species